rnacentral:rRNA from 1 species
CAGAGGGUGCGAGCGUUAAUCGGAAUUACUGGGCGUAAAGCGUGCGUAGACGGUUGUUUAAGUCGGAUGUGAAAGCCCCGGGCUCAACCUGGGAAUUGCAUUUGAGACUGAAUAGCUAGGGUGCGGUAGAGGGAAGCGGAAUUUCCGGUGUAGCGGUGAAAUGCGUAGAUAUCGGAAGGAACAUCAGUGGCGAAAGCGGCUUCCUGGACCAGCACCGACGUUCAGGCACGAAAGCGUGGGGAGCAAACAGGAUUAGAUACCCUGGUAGUCCACGCCAUAAACGAUGAGGACUAGACGUUGGAGGGGUAAGCCUUUCAGUGUCGUAGCUAACGCGCUUAGUCCUCCGCCUGGGGAGUACGGCCGCAAGGUUG